CAUGAACUUUAAUGUUGAGGCAAUUUUGUGUUUGAAUGAUCAUUGUAGUUAUCAUUUUUAAUAUUAUGAAUAUUUGGGAGGUCGAAACGAUCGAUAGAAUCUUUUAACUUUGAAAGAAAUAUUGGAUACGUAGGCACGUAGUUUAGACCGUGUAGUGACGCUUCGCUUGAGGCCUACAGUCUUCCUCUAGAGAAGUUUAUUUGCCAAAAGUAUAGGCCAAAACUUAGCCAAAAACUCAAUUCUUUGCUCAAGAUAACGUAGAGUACUCAUGUUCUAUACUCAUUGGAUCAGGAAUUUGAUUUGUCAGACGCCAUUUCAUGUUGUAUCGAGGUAAGGCACUAGCCAAGUUAAGGUUGAGACAAUAAUCUGAAGAGACGGCCAACUACGACGCUUGAUUAUUCUUUAUCGCCAUUAACAAUACAUUCCUCUCUAGUCAGUUUGUUAUAGAAUUAUAAAAGUUAUGUUAUUUUAGCGGGAAUCAACUUGCAGUCUAAUCUUGCUCAAUAGUUCUUGCCUAGUUGUACGUAGUUUGUUUGAGUAAAGCUUGCAUUGAACGUGCCAUAAUACACAUUCGCACGACGCGCACGUAGCGAUGUCCCGUGCUUCGCAUCCAGGUACCACUGGACCAAAUGUAAACAACAUUUAAUAUAUAUUCGUAAACUAAGGUAAUAAGAUAUACAUGGAUUGAUAUACAAAUUUUGGAUUGGUAUAAUAUAAAGUAUGUUAAACAAAAGGUUAAUAUUAUGUUGUGUGUUUUAAUGUAUGGCAAAUGCUAGAGUAGUGACGUAGUGUAGCGAUUUUGAAGUUUUACAUACAUUAUAAUAUCGAUAAGUAUGACUAACCGAAAGCAAUAACAUUAUUAUUAUAUUCACUGGCGCGCGUUGCGGGCACAGAAAGAGAUAGCAAAUACAAGAAUAAGUCGAUUCAAGCACUGUUCAGAGAGCACAGCAGCGCGCGCUCCCAUGUUAGAAUAUUUAAUAUACACAAGCAUUACAAUAUAAAAUAUUUAAAUAUUUUUGUAUAAUAGGAUCGGUGUAUUCAGUAGCAAGUUGGUAAUUGGUAUUUAAAAGUUAUUCGUGAUAAAUGUGCGAACACUUGUUGAUAAGUGAGAGUUUGUGAUUAACUUGUUUAACACUUAGGCAUGCGCCGCUUAAAGGCGUGCGGCCAUCUUGUUUGCGACAUUCGACAAAAUGGCGGCGCGGUGGACACGACAUUAGAUAUUAUAUGUAUAAUAAUUGACUAAUUGUGUUUAUGAUUUAAAUGAAUUUGAAUGCGCGUCUGUUCUGAUGCUAGUCUAAAAUUGUGUUACUUACGUCGUAAGUCAUUUUUUACGGAUGAUAGAUAUGUAAUGUGUGUCGUGUCCCAAGCGAACUCCAGACAUCGCAAUAUCUAUAAAGAGGCUGUAUUGACAUUCCUUUUAUGUAUAUUUUUUGGUUGUAAUGGAGUUUGCAUUUUUUAUUUAUGGUAGAUAUACUCGUAUUUAUCAAUUAACAUAGUUUCUCAUCUAAGAUAUAUUAGAAAUGGGCUGUUUUUUUAUUUUAUCACAUAGUACACUAAAUUGCAGUAGAUAAUACAUUGUGCAAUAUGUAAUCGAUUUUCUCUUGUAUGUGUUUCGAGGUUUCAGUAGUGGGGCGGGGUAGUAGAGUAGCGUUCGUUGUCGAAAAUGGAAAUAACUGGUCCCUAACAUAGACUUUAAAUCUUAACAUAAGCGUAACUAGUAAGCAAUUAUUCGAAUUUCCAGAUAUACGAAACGCCAGAUUUAGAAAGCGUAGAUACAACAAGGUGUGUAUCGUUUUCAAUGUAAAAAAGACUUGUUUCACCACUCUCAUAAUUGCCAUCUGACAUUAACAGUAUGAGGUGUCAAUUGUCAAGUCUGUGAAAUAGACGCCAGAUCAUCGUUUUUCUUACAAUAAAAUUAUCAAGUGUUAACUUGACAAUUCUUCGAAAACGUUGUUUGUCGAUCCAGAAAUGUAACAAUCAGUGUCAGGUGACAGAGUGUUAAUUUGGUGUUUUAAAAGGUCUCCGGAUAUUUCAAGAAUCUAGGAACGACAGUAAGAGGUUAAUUUUAUACUUCUAUAAUCUAUAGCCUGCUCAGAUGCUUAGUUUGAUACUAGUUACGCUUAUGAUAGUAACCAUUCCUAGUCCAGACAGUAGGUACUAGUGCAGUAAACAUGCAUUUUGUACAAGUCUAUGUAUUGGGAGUAAACGCUGUACCUUAGCUUUUUUGCAAAUAUUACAAAUACCGAAUGACUUGUAUCAGUAUUGUGUGAAAUCUGUAGAUUGAUGUAUUUUUCUUUUUGGCGACGCCUUUUCUGAUUUCUUAAAAAAUCUAUAACGUUAAAAAGGCAACGGAUGUUUUAGAAACAUAAGUGUUAGUAGACGUUUAAUGAAACAUCUGGUUACCGUUAAACCUGGAGUUACCAUGGUUACCAGUACAAUUUGACACUGGGUUAACAGUUUAACCGGUUAACCCCGGGUUAGUAGGAUGGUGCAGUUGGCGCUUAUUAAUUGGUUUAAACAACGGUUUUUUUGCACAUCUGGAGACCACAGAUUCAAAAAAGGCGUUCGCUCCAUAGACAACUCUAGGCAAUAGAUACUGGGCUACUCUAGCGCCCCUAGCUAGCGCCCGCAGUAGAGCGCCGGCCGCGCGCCUCAACGCAAUAUGGUUGGUUCAUCUUCACAUAGAACAAAUCUUAGUAAUAAAUGGUAACAAACACAGUCGGAUUUUCAUUUAUCGCUUCCCUUCAAUAGUAACAGUAAACUGAAGUAUUUCAGUAGUUUUUGGAAUGAGCUUGCCCCAGUUGGGCGCCAGUUAGUACAACAAUUUUCUUUGGUAGUAUAGUGGAGGAGGAGAUAGAUGCAUGCAGACGGAGGUAGCAGUGGUGUGCAUGGCAGCAGCAGGAGCCCUGGAUUCAAGACGAAGACUUCGUGCUCGGUGAGACAAUACUGACUUGACGCAACUGGUGAUGGCACAUGUUUGGCUGCGUGGCUAUUCGGUCCACACUCCUUUAAUUUAAAAGUUCAUCGGUGCAUCAUAGUUUGAAGGAUACAUACUUUUACACUUAUAUGAGGCGGAUCCUAAUAGUCACGCAGCUUUUAUUGUCGUUAAAAUUAUUGAGAUUGCGUUUUGUAAAGUCGGGAUAGUUGUAGACUUUAUUAGAGGGCCUUAGUUUUACAUGUUGUUUCUGGUUUAGAUACACAUAUCAAACAAGCGCAAGCGGGUGACAGAUCUACAGACGAUUUAGCGAUUAGCUACAAUAUUUUUACAAGUAUAAAUUUACAAAUUUGAUCAAAGUGCCUAUAGUCUUUGGUCAAGAGUUUCUUAGGUUUACGCUUGUAAAAAUGUUCUGAACAGAUUCCAUACAGAAGUAAAUUGACUGUAUCUCGUCAUCUAAGCAUUCGUCCCUUUAAUUUUAGUAAGAAAGCGACGCAUGCUUGUUUACAUAUAACGUUUUUAUAGUGUAUGUGAUGAAUACAAAACAGUAUUUCCAUAAUCUUAGUAUUUUGUGUGUCAUGACAGUAUUCGUCAAGGUUUUAUAUAUGAUGACUAUCAUAGGUAGUUCUGUCGACGCGAAAUCAGUAUUGUCAUUCACUUUCAGAUGCUGUUUCAUUGCUUAGUUAUUUAGUCCCCAACCCAAAGUGCAUCCCAGUAUAAUAGUGUAGAACAUAGUUUAAAUACAUGGUUUUGGGUGCUGGCCGUUAGUAGCUUAGAUGAAUGGUCUAUUAAAUUUUACGUAAAUCCUACAAAAAAUUGUGAUGAGACUUACCUUUGGGAAUCGCUUGUUUUUUAAUCUCUGUAGUGUAGACUCCUGUAGAAAAUUAGAAUUAAUAACAUAUCAGCCGAGAGACCCCCUACAAGACACAAUCGAGUUGUGCCUUAAGUUAGUUUUCUAUUUGAAAAACGAGAAACGUAGAUCUUUCUAGAAGUAGUACAUGGACCAAAGACUCGAUUAGUUUGAAAUAUAUUUUUUGUAUCUCUUUUCUGUUGAACAAGAUGUGAUCGAUUUUCGUAAAUAAAUCAAAUUAAGAUUUUUCACAUGUAGUGUAUUUUAGAAGUUUAAAAAAGUAACAGAAAAUUUCAAGUACAACGUACUUCGUUUUGUAGUAGUACAAAGUAAUUUAAGUAUUGUAAAUGCAUCGAUUUUAUGUCACUUGUUACACUGACACGUCUUCCUAUGAAUUGAUAAUAAUAGACUGAUUGUAGUCACCCAUUUCGUAUGUUUUGUUUAAUUAUAUCCCAAUUGCCUGGGAUGCACUGAUUUCUUUAUUCUACAUAUGUAAGAGCACUUGUUUGGAUCUGUCAAAUUUUCCGCCUUUUCUUGUCUCUGGCAUUUUUUUUUUUUUUUGCAAGAGCAUUCGUCUGAAUCUAGUCAGUUUUGCCGCCAUUUUAUCUAUGACCGUUGAAUUUUUUAAAGGUCUGAAAAAGUGCUUCAGCGCCUAAGGUGCAUUAAAUAGUGUUUUCUGUAGUUGAAAAGUGUUCAGUAGUGUAAAACCCCAGUACAAGGAACGGUGCAGUGCCUCGUUGUGUGACAAUAUCAUGUUCACAGUUCAUUUAGUACCUGCGUAUCUCGCGUAGCACUGAUAUCUAUGAAAUUGUAACAUUUUCAUACAUUAUCUCAAAAAAAUAUAUUUUAGGCAACAAAAAACAUUGGCUUAGAAUAAAUUUAAGUGGAAAAAUUAUGUGCCUUGGGUGAGACUUGAACUCACUGCCUCUGGAUCGAUACUGCAGCGCUCUGCCAACUGAGCCACCGAGACCUCAUCCAUAAUCAGCAAAUCUUCCCACUGUAUAGAUCUAGGGUAUGGGAAUGGGUAGCACAUCGUAACUGGUGAAUUUCCAAUAUGACUUUUGGAACUCCGGUGGCCGUUUAAGAAGUGUAACGCUCUUACGGUAGAUGUCGCUAGGGUCCCCUACACCCAUAUAGUGGGAAGAUGACUAUGGAUGAGGUCUUGGUGGGUCAGUUGGCAGAGCGCUGGAGUAUCGAUCCAGAGGCCGUGAGUUCAAGUCUCACCCAAGGCAGUAAUUUUUCCACAAAUUUAUUCUACGCUUAAUAGCAUCGUUCGCAGACGUUUCUGCUUAUUAAAAAUUAAUUUAAAAAAACAUUGGAUUAAUAAUCUUAUAUAGGUAUUAUCUUUUUUUGUUGCCUGAAAUCUUUAAUUCAGUAAGUUGAGAAACUUUUUCUAUAAAUUGUGACUUCUGUACUAGACUAGUCAUUUGUGAUAAAUUAUGAGUUUUGAUAAAGUUAAUUUAGGAUUUUUUUACUUUUGUAUACUUAGUUGUUUUUGCGUUACAAAACAAAGUUUAGUUUGUAAUAGUUUUUCUCUGAACUUUAACAAUUAGUUGUUUUUUCUAAUCUAACGUAUUUGUACAUAUUCUAGAUUUAAUGACAUUGUUAUUAAUAAUAUUUGUAUUUAAUUAUCAUGUAGGUAACCUGUAUUUAGGGGUGACUAGAUAUUAGGCUCUCUGAAUUUGUCUUUAAAAUUUAAAAAUAGUUUCUGUAUCGAUUUGAUGUAGUUAAAAAGUUACUGGGUAUAAUAUGACUUUAGUACUGGAAUGUUUUAGUUUGGAAAGAAUGAUAAAACCAGUGGUGGUACUUCGUUUCAUGAAAGUAUUUGGUAAAGGUACUAGCCUUUUUAAUUAUGUGACUUUUUACCUCGAUAAACUAUUUAUUUUGUAGCUUUAACACGCGCCUUUGUUUUAUGACAUGUACUUUAAAAAUCUGUGCUUUUAAAAAGGCUUUAUAGCGACAACUUAAAACAUUAUUACUUGAAAUUUUAUGUUUGUUUUUAUUAUUUCUAAUAUUUUAAUUUAUAAAAUAGGCAUUCAAUAAUGCUACUUCCAUGACUCGUAGUAGACGACCCACUGGCAUAGCAGAAUAGUGAUUGAAAACGAAAAAGAAGUGCCCCUCGAAUUUGUAUAUCUACUAAACAGUAUAUAAUCGAAAUUAUUCAAUAUUUACAUCGUUAGUCGUAGCUGUAAUUCUGUCAAAUAUAUAGAUUUUUUACUCCUACGUAAUAAUUUACGGAAAAUGAAAAAUAAAAUGUGAUUUGCUGGUUACAGUUGUUCAUUACAAAAAUCAAGAAAAUAUUUUUCAUUUUACGUUCCUAAUUGACCUUUGUGCUAAUAUGCUUGGAAUUCUGUGCUUUAUAUAUAUAUAUUGUCAAUUAAUCAGUCAAUAAAUGUUUUUCUUGGGAAGCCGA